UACAGAGGUCCCAAGCGUUGUUCGGAUUCACUGGGCGUAAAGGGUGCGUAGGCGGUCGGGUAAGUCUGAUGUGAAAUCUCACAGCUUAACUGUGAAACUGCAUUGGAUACUAUCCUGCUCGAGGGUUGGAAGGGGGACUGGAAUUCUCGGUGUAGCAGUGAAAUGCGUAGAUAUCGAGAGGAACACCAGUGGCGAAGGCGAGUCCCUGGACAACACCUGACACUGAGGCACGAAAGCUAGGGGAGCAAACAGG
rnacentral:rRNA from 1 species